AUAUAUAUAUUUAUUUACCGGCUGCGAGGUCCGGAUGAGAAAAACUGUGCCCGAGGUCUUGCAAACGGCCCGAGCCCGAAGGGCGAGGGACGUUUUCAAGACCCGGAGGGCACAGUUUUUCUCAUCCGGACCGACGCUGCCGGUAAAUAACGUGUUUAU